UUCCCUGGCGGUCCAGUGGUUAGGAUUCUGCCCUUCCACUACAGGGUGCACAGGUUCAAUUCCUGUUUGGGAAC
rnacentral:tRNA from 1 species